GAUGAACGCUGGCGGCGUGCCUAAUACAUGCAAGUCGAGCGAACAGACGAGGAGCUUGCUCCUCUGACGUUAGCGGCGGACGGGUGAGUAACACGUGGAUAACCUACCUAUAAGACUGGGAUAACUUCGGGAAACCGGAGCUAAUACCGGAUAAUAUAUUGAACCGCAUGGUUCAAUAGUGAAAGACGGUUUUGCUGUCACUUAUAGAUGGAUCGGCGCCGCAUUAGCUAGUUGGUAAGGUAACGGCUUACCAAGGCAACGAUGCGUGGCCGACCUGAGAGGGGGAGAGGCACGAGUGGGACAUGGCGAGGGAGGCGACAGCGGAGGAGGGGAGAAGGAGGGUAGAGUGGGAAAUGGGCGGAAAUCAAACGUAUCAAAUCCGCGGGAAAUAAAAAGGUAUGAGGAGCGUAAAACUCUGUUAUUAAGGAAAAACAAAUGUCCAAGGAAAGAUGCACGCCGCGACGGUACAUAAGCAGAAAGACACGGCUAGCUACGUG
rnacentral:rRNA from 1 species